rnacentral:rRNA from 1 species
CGAGCACGCGCGUGUGGCAUAUCAAUAAGCGGAGGAAAAGAAACUAACAAGGAUUCCCUAGUAACGGCGAGUGAAGCGGGAAGAGCUCAAAUUUGAAAUCUUCAAGGUUCUACCUUGACGAAUUGUAGUUUAUAGAAGUGUUUUCUGUUAGUGGAGUGGCAAAAGUUCUUUGGAAUAGGACAUCAUAGAGGGUGAGAAUCCCGUAUUUGGUCAUUCCUCCUAGCGUUGUGAUACACUUUCAACGAGUCGGAUUGUUUGGGAAUGCAGUCCAAAAUGGGUGGUAAAUUUCAUCUAAAGCUAAAUAUUGGCGAGAGACCGAUAGCGAACAAGUACCGUGAGGGAAAGAUGAAAAGAACUUUGAAAAGAGAGUUAAACAGUACGUGAAAUUGUCAAAAGGGAAGCGUUUGACACCAGUGUUGUUUUUCCGAAAAUCAAUUACGAAUGUUUUAUUUUUGAGGAGUUAUGACUUCAUCGGCUUGCUCCUUUCUUUACUGAAACUUUCUUAAUGCACUUUUCGGUUAACAAGUCAACAUCAAUUUCUUUUGUUGUAAAAGGGUAUGAGGAAGGUGGCUUUCUUUUCGGAGAAAGUGUUUAUAGCCUUGUGCCUCUGCAAUCGGAGAGAUUGAGGUCUGCAGCGUAGAUCCUUCGGGGUUAGAUACGUUUGUGCUAAGUUAUAGCUUUUCAUAGACAACUUGUUGACUAUGUUUAGUCUUGUAGCUUACUCGCUGAUGCUAUUUUACCUACGCUUAGGAUGUUGAGCGCAUGUCUCUCUCU